rnacentral:rRNA from 1 species
UACAGAGGUCUCAAGCGUUGUUCGGAUUCAUUGGGCGUAAAGGGUGCGUAGGCGGCGCGGUAAGUCGGGUGUGAAAUCUCGGAGCUUAACUCCGAAACUGCAUUCGAUACUGCCGUGCUUGAGGACUGGAGAGGAGACUGGAAUUUACGGUGUAGUGGUGAAAUACGUAGAGAUUGGGAAGAACACCAGUGGCGAAGGCGGCUAUCUGGACGGUUUCUGACGCUAAGACGCGAAAGCGUGGGGAGCAAACAGG